UUCGGAGAGUUUGAUCCUGGCUCAGGAUGAACGCUGGCGGCGUGCCUAAUACAUGCAAGUCGAGCGAACUGAUUAGAAGCUUGCUUCUAUGACGUUAGCGGCGGACGGGUGAGUAACACGUGGGCAACCUGCCUGUAAGACUGGGAUAACUUCGGGAAACCGAAGCUAAUACCGGAUAGGAUCUUCUCCUUCAUGGGAGAUGAUUGAAAGAUGGUUUCGGCUAUCACUUACAGAUGGGCCCGCGGUGCAUUAGCUAGUUGGUGAGGUAACGGCUCACCAAGGCAACGAUGCAUAGCCGACCUGAGAGGGUGAUCGGCCACACUGGGACUGAGACACGGCCCAGACUCCUACGGGAGGCAGCAGUAGGGAAUCUUCCGCAAUGGACGAAAGUCUGACGGAGCAACGCCGCGUGAGUGAUGAAGGCUUUCGGGUCGUAAAACUCUGUUGUUAGGGAAGAACAAGUACGAGAGUAACUGCUCGUACCUUGACGGUACCUAACCAGAAAGCCACGGCUAACUACGUGCCAGCAGCCGCGGUAAUACGUAGGUGGCAAGCGUUAUCCGGAAUUAUUGGGCGUAAAGCGCGCGCAGGCGGUUUCUUAAGUCUGAUGUGAAAGCCCACGGCUCAACCGUGGAGGGUCAUUGGAAACUGGGGAACUUGAGUGCAGAAGAGAAAAGMGGAAUUCCACGUGUAGCGGUGAAAUGCGUAGAGAUGUGG
rnacentral:rRNA from 1 species